GGUACCAGAAGAAGAAGAAGAAAGAAAAGCAAGAAAAAAAGGAUAAAGAUGAAGAAAAGUACUGUAAUGAAGACAUCUUUUCUUUCUCCUCCUCUUUCUU
rnacentral:ribozyme from 1 species